AUUGAACGCUGGCGGCAUGCCUAACACAUGCAAGUCGAACGGCAGCACAGUAAAGACUUCGGUCUUUAUGGGUGGCGAGUGGCGGACGGGUGAGUAACGCGUAGGAAUCUGUCCUGGAGAGUGGGAUAACCCGAGGAAACUCGGGCUAAUACCGCAUGAUAUCGAGAGAUCAAAGGCAGGGGACCCUUCGGGGCCUUGCGCUCUAGGUUGAGCCUACGUCGGAUUAGCUAGUUGGUGGGGUAAAGGCCCACCAAGGCGACGAGCCGUAGCUGGUCUGAGAGGAUGACCAGCCACACUGGGACUGAGACACGGCCCAGACUCCUACGGGAGGUAGCAGUGGGGAAUCUUGGACAAUGGGGGAAACCCUGAUCCAGCGAUGCCGCGUGUGUGAAGAAGGCCUUCGGGUUGUAAAGCACUUUAGGUGGGGAAGAAAGGUAAUGAGUGAAUAACUGAUUGCUUUGACGGUACCCGCAGAAUAAGCACCGGCUAACUCUGUGCCAGCAGCCGCCGUAA
rnacentral:rRNA from 1 species